ensembl:lncRNA LINC01804 long intergenic non-protein coding RNA 1804
AUUAUUUUUAAGGACAGGAUCCCGGUCCAGUCUCCUGACUGCGUAGAGAUCCCUCUUCUUCCCGAAAGGCAGUGGAUGUACUUGAAAGGAGACUUCACGGACAUUCCCAAGGAGACCUGCAUUUUAAGCCCAGCUCUGUCUGCACUUGCUGUGUGUUGAAGUGGACUAUAAAUUGGAAGAGACCCCAAGCGGUUGAGUAACCUGAUCUGAGAUCCCACACCUAAUACGCAUGGAGCCUCACAACUGAACCCAGAAAUGAGAUCUCGCUUUGCUGCCCAGGCUGGUCUUGAGCUCUUGGCUCAGAAGAUCCUCCCUCCUCAAUCUCCUGAAGUGCUGGGAUUGCAGGCAUCAGCCACCACGCCCGGCCAAGGUCAGCUUUUCUGGGUAUAAACUUCCAGUGGGAGAAAGUUUCACCCUUCCAUGGACUAUUGCCUAUGACCUAUUAAACCCAGGGACCUUUUUCAAGUGCAAA